UAGGUAGGGUGCGAGCGUUGUCCGGAAUUACUGGGUGUAAAGGGUCCGCAGGCGGACUGAUAAGUCAAUGGUGAAAUUUCCCGGCUCAACCGGGAACCUGCUGUUGAUACUAUUAGUCUUGAGUCCGAGAGAGGAUAGUGGAAUUCAUGGUGUAGCGGUGAAAUGCGUAGAGAUCAUGAAGAACACCGGUAGCGAAGGCGGCUAUCUGGCUCGGUACUGACGCUCAGGGACGAAAGCGUGGGUAGCAAACAGG
rnacentral:rRNA from 1 species